CAGCAGCCACGGUAACACGGAGGGUGCAAGCGUUAAUCGGAAUUACUGGGCGUAAAGCGCACGCAGGCGGUCUGACAAGUCAGAUGUGAAAUCCCCGGGCUUAACCUGGGAACUGCAUUUGAAACUGUCAGGCUGGAGUCUUGUAGAGGGGGGUGGAAUUCCAGGUGUAGCGGUGAAAUGCGUAGAGAUCUGGAGGAAUACCGGUGGCGAAGGCGGCCCCCUGGACAAAGACUGACGCUCAGGUGCGAAAGCGUGGGGAGCAAACAGGAUUAGAUACCCGUGUAGUCCCUGUCUCUUAUAC
rnacentral:rRNA from 1 species